AGCAUAUCAAUAAGCGGAGGAAAAGAAAAUAACAAUGAUUCCCUUAGUAACGGCGAGUGAAGGGGGAUAAGCUCAAAUUUUAAAUCUGGCUAGGUUUUACCUAUCAGAGUUGUAUUUUGAAGAAGCGUUUUCCGCGUCUCGGUUGGCCCAAGUCCUUUGGGAUAAGGUAUCAUGGAGGGUGAGAAUCCCGUUCGGUUGACCUUAUGACGCUUUACGAUACGCUUUCAAAGAGUCGAGUUGUUUGGGAUUGCAGCUCAAAAUGGGAGGUAAAUUUCUCCUAAGGCUAAAUAUCGGCGAGAGACCGAUAGCGAACAAGUACCGUGAGGGAAAGAUGAAAAGAACUUUGAAAAGAGAGUAAAAUAGUACGUGAAAUUGUUGAAAGGGAAACGAUUGAAGUCAGUCGUACCGACGAGAAAUCAGCUCUUCGAGUGCGAACUUGUGGGCGUGCGUGAGUCUUUAACGGGCCUCGCUGUUUGCAAUGUUUGUGCUUUUUGGGUGUACUUUUUCGUAUGGUAGGCCAACGUCAGUUUCGAUUACCAUAAAAUGAUCGGAGGAAUGUAGCUUCGAUCUCGUAUUGAAGUGUUAUAGCCUCUGGUAGAUGUGGUGACCGAAACUGAGGAUUGCAACGAAUACCCUUUGGGCUAUCCGUCUGACCUCUGAAAGUUGCUUAGGUGCCGAAAGCUUGCUUACGGUCAUUUAAGUUGACGGUCAAAAGGUUAGAACGUGAUUACANNNNNNNNNGACGUUGGCGUAAUGGCUUUAAACGACCCGU
rnacentral:rRNA from 1 species